rnacentral:rRNA from 1 species
UACGUAGGGCGCAAGCGUUGUCCGGAAUUAUUGGGCGUAAAGAGCUCGUAGGCGGUUCUGUCACGUCGGAAGUGAAAACCCGGGGCUUAACCCCGGGCUUGCUUUCGAUACGGGCAGACUAGAGUGUGGUAGGGGAGACUGGAAUUCCUGGUGUAGCGGUGAAAUGCGCAGAUAUCAGGAGGAACACCGGUGGCGAAGGCGGGUCUCUGGGCCACUACUGACGCUGAGGAGCGAAAGCGUGGGGAGCGAACAGG